rnacentral:miRNA from 2 species
UUGACUUCAAUAGGAGCAGGAUU